rnacentral:lncRNA from 1 species
AAUGAAUGAUUGUUGUGGUUGCUCUGAAAACCAAGACUGUUGCAAAUAUAGUAUAUUAGUUAUAGGACAAAUAUACGACCGUGUUGAGAAUAAAUGAGACACUCACGUUCACUUUUUUGUUGCGCCUGUGCGUUGUAAGCAGCAAUGUACUCUGAUUGUUGUCAGAUGAAUGCCAUUUUCUCUUAUCGCAACUCUUCAUGAAACCUUCCUUGCUGCUCCCUUAUUGUCACACCCGGUUUUGGAAGGUAAACCGAAUGCGAACCAUGUACGUGCCAGGAUCAGAAAUUCACGUACACGGCGAUUACAUAAAUGACUCAUCAUAGCACAAUGCUUCGAAUAACAAUAAAGAUAAGUAAUAAUAUGAAAGACUAGAGUCAUUUACAUAAUAUAACCAAAGUACACAGAACAGAAACGUAGCCAACGUAAAUAAACCCACCACAGGCAGCUGACUGGGGGAGGUCGCUAGCCUAAUCCUCAAACUCGCCGAAGUCCUGAAACUCCCGGAGAUCCGCCUCGACGCCUUCUUCUUUACUUGAGCAUAGAUUGCACCAAAGGCAACAUGGUGUUUUGUGAAAGCAAGGGUGAGUACACAUCAACGUACUCAGCAAAUGCCCCGUUUGGCUGAAGUGGACUAGCUUUUUAUGUGGGGUUAAGCUCAAGCAGUUGCUUUUAGUUGGUCAGGUAUUUAUUAUCAGUGGAAGCCAAGUUUUAGUAAUAACCAACCCGUGAACCAUUUCCUCAUCGAGGAAACAUCAUUAUCAUCAUCGAACCAAAAUCAUAAAUAGAACCAUAACAUCUUGAACCAUCUGUAUCUCUAAUCAAAGAGGAUCCCAAGGCCGCUCAUAACCGUGAGCAUGGCUGAUAUAUCAGUUUCACUACCCUCUGCAGAGGUCGCACACUUUACCCAUGAGUCGUGAUUCCCAUUUUGCCCGGGGAUCAUGACUCCCCAUUGAUCACUUCCUAGGUGGUCCGGCAGGGUAUCACUACGUAGCUUUUACAAAGAUUCCCUAGAGGUCAUAGCCGCCUGUUAGGUUUCUCCAGUUUGAUAAACACAGUACCCCUCCCCGCAGGAGAGUGACUAACCAAAAAGCAAAACGAAAGAACCUCGGCACUCAGCCUCGGCAGAGCAAGCACUGUGCUUGGACCCCAUUGACGACACGACGGCGAAGCAACUACACCUCUAGUUCCUCUAAUUAAUUAGCUAAGGGCAUCACAUUUCACCCUCAUGGUUGCACUGUUAUCCCGGGUGGUCUCUCAACGAACAGGUCCUUACGGAGAGGUACUCGGGAAACAGCCCGAGUCCCCUAAAUGCCACAAGUAUAUCAUCAUAUCCAGAAUAAAAUCAUAGUAUCAUCAUUGUAUCUCAUCUUGUUCAUUGAUUAAAGUAAAGCGCUAGCAUGUAGCUAACCAUAACACGCACGACAGGCGAGAGAACUAAAUAGGUGACGUGUUUAUACUAAACAAGUAUUAAUAAGAAUAUUUAAUUCGAUAUAAUUAUAUUAAUUAGCAUUUAUGAAAUAUAGAUUAAAGCUACUUAGUUUUGACUAACUUACUGUUUUUAUUGUGGAUGAUUAAAUAAAUAAAUAAUUAACUGACAUGAGUGAUUAUAAGGGAAUAGUUUAAUCUCGCGCGCGGACAACGCGCGAUACGCGCGAACGGCGUGGCAAGGCGCGCGACACACGCGAACGGCGCGCGGCAACACGUGCGAACAAUACGCGCGACACUCGCGAGUGAUGUGCGACGAAGCGGACAAACAACGCGUGACGACACGCGCGGCAGCGCGCGAAACGGCACGCGGCAACACGUGAAACAGCAUGGCGCGUGAACGACACGCAUGACACGCGCGAAGCAACGCACGUGACACUCAAGAAUAACAUAUUGAUGCCAUGUUUAUACUAAGAAUCUAUUAAUUUAAAAUGGUUGAGUUGACAUUAAUCAUAUUAACAUGUAUUUAAAAAACAAAAAUUAAAACUAUACAUUAGGUUUAAUUGGAAGGUCAUUUUUAAUAACUACCGAACGAACAAUUAAUUAAUUAGUUAAAUAAACAUGUGUCAUGACCAAAUAGUACUUUCAAUGAGUAUACAAUAUUAUUGCGAAGUUGACACAACUAAAACGAGUCGAAAUAAGUUUACGAUGCAAAAGAUAUUGAAUACUUAAUCAGCCACAGUUUACUACGAUCUGACGCAAUUCUAUUGGCUGAUGGCUUACCACACUGAGAGCCACACAAAGAAAAGCCACAAAGCAUCCUGGGAUCUAGCUAGAUCGUGGUGCACUAGGAGAUUGAAACGUGGCCAUGAAUCAUGGGAAUAGACUAACGGUUCCCUUUUCUGGCUUCUUCAACCCACGAACACAUAUUUUCCUCUCUCCUACACCUUUGACGGAACGAGUGGUUGCAAAGCACGGGGGUCGCAUGGGAGGCAGGGCACGGCUGGGUGGGCUCGCCGGCGAGCGGGGCUUACGGUGGCGAUUGGGCGCGCAGGGGCUCUGCCCAGGCCGUUGCGCCUGGCAGCAGGCCGGCUAGCUGUGCCGUCGUGCCGAGGCUGGCGGUUCGGUCAGCCAUGGCCGCGAAGGGCGUUGUAGGGAGGGGCUGCAAGGGUAGACGCACGACCACACAACAGAGAGAGCGAGGACGGCUCAGCCGACUUCGCCGGGGAAGCGCGAAUGACGAUGGAUCGCCAUUGCCACAGCUCGGACGAGGCAAAGAAAACAAAAGAGAUGGCCACGCUCUGUACUCUCACCUUGCGACGAACUCGAUGAGGGAGAAUCACGGGCGUAGCCUUCUCCGGGCAUGGCAACGCGUAGCUUGGUGGCGAGCGCAACUCCAGGACUGCUAUGCAACUGAACUGCAGGGGGCUUGAAGUCCGAGCAACGUGGGCGGGCCAUGAUGGAGUGGGGGCUAGUUUCCUUGGCGUUCGGAUGCACGGGGCUGAGGCAGUUGUGAAGGGGGAAGCAAGGAGAUGAUAUGGGGGCCCGCUGCGCAAACAACGACUGGGCGAGGGGAGGCUCACGCGGCUCGAGCAGCCACGCGUGUGUCCACGUGCAACAGGGUGCGCCGGGCUGAGGGAAAAAGGUGAGGAGAGGAAAUUUGUUUUCCCUUUUUUUAUUCUUUUUCUUUGUUUUUUAUAGGUAUAGAUAUAUGUAUUUAUAUAUAUAUAUAUGAACAUAUUUAUUUAUUAUUUGAUCAUCCAAAAGUAAUAUUUUUUCUGAACGGGAACACCCUAAGACUAUUGUAGCAAACAAGAAGUUGUGCCUCGACAUGAGAAACACACAUGUAAUCAAAAUAGUACCUAUGUAUUCCAGAUAACUAUCCCUUAUUUAGAAAAAGAAAAGAAAAGCAAGGAAAAGAGAGGGUAACACCUGAAUAUGGUGGGUAUUAGAAAAGAAAUUUUAUACCCUAAUUUCAGGGUGUUACAAAUCUAACCCCCUUAACAGGAAUCUCGCCCCCGAGAUUCAAGAAGAGGUUAGCAAGAACGACUAGGUUGGUUCUUAGGUUGUCCACGACUUUCUUGAGCUGACUUUGACUCUGUAAGCUUAACUUGGGGACUAGUUUGCUUUGACUUUCAGAUGCUUGAGACCGAUCGAUGCAAUUCUUGAGGAUCUCUUGGACCUAUGGGUUAGGACCCACACAUGCUUUCGCUGCACCAGUUUGAUCUUAUUGGUUGAGAUUGAACACAUUGUCUUCAUUGGAGUUAUCGGCUAACCCCCUUAACAGGAGCGUUGAUAUGCACUUGGUGAAGAUGCUGCCGACUCUGAUCUUGACUGAUUUGGAGGAGCUAGAGGUUGCCAAAUGGACAGGUGCAAAAGGAAAGAAUAACGAGAAAAGGUAAGUAAAGACGGAUUAGAGAGAGCAGGGGAGAACCCAACUACUUAACUCUAUGACACUCACCUAGUAAACUGAUGCCAUUGCGGACCAAAGGCCACAACACAGCAACACUCAUUUCAAAGAAGCAAAUCAGUCAUAGCACAAAGACAAACAUCACGAGCACACAUCAACAACAUCUUGUUGCUAUACGUUCCUUUUAAGUCAUGGUGGAUCUUUCUUAAAAAGGGAGAUAACUACUCUCUAGGGUUUUUCGAAGGAGGAGGAGAAGAAUAAUACAUGCUGGAUAGGGACACGAGCACAAUAAAGGAUGGAGUUUAAGCAAGGAUUGUAAUCGACAAGGGAGAAAAUGCAACCAAGGGCAGGGUAGGUAAACACCAUUCUCAAAUCGAGAUGGGAAAGAUGCUAAUUCGAAAGGUAGGCAUAAGAAAAGCAUCAUGGAAGGAUCCAGUGAUUACAAAGGUACAGGAGGUAACAGACGAAAGCACAUCAAAAGAUCGAGUUAAGACAAGACUUGCCACGCGACAGAGGAAAAAGGGGACGAACCAGAGCGGGGAGGGGUAAGACAACACUCUUUAAAUGAAAUGGGAGAGGCAGCUUUAAAAUGCAGGUACAAGAUAAGCAUCAAUGUAAAGAUCGAGUGACAAGGGUUAAGGUGAUAACAGACAAACACACAACAGGGUGUGUAUUUGAGGAAAAACUUGCAAGGUGUCAAAAAAGGGGGGCAAUCAGUGGUGAAGUAGGUGAGGCAUUAUCCUCGAACAGGGAUGGAAAAGAGGAGGCUUUAAAGGGUAGGUUCAAAGUAAGCGUGAAGGUAAAGAUAUAGAUAUUGCAAGGGUUAAAGGUGACAACGGACAAGAAUGUAAGAGAGGAGGUAAAUGGUCAUAAGAACAAAGAAUAUAAGUGCCCUAAAGGAUGGAGUUAAGACAGGGCCUGCAAAUGAAAAAGACGGGCCAGACAAGUAAAUUGCCACUCCCAAAUUGCGGUGGAAGAGAGGAGAUUUUUAAAGAUCAAGAAUAAAGAUGAGUAUCAAGGCAAGAUCGAUGGAUGGCAAGGUGAUGGUGAUAGCAAAUAAAAACACCGCAAAGGAUGGUAUUAACACAAAACUUGUAAGGCGACAAGAAGUGAGAAGAAAUCAAGGGAGAGAUAGGUAACUCGCAACUCUCAAACUUUCUCAAAAUAAAGGAGAGGCUUUUAAAGGAUAAGUUUAAGGUAAGCAUUUAGGUAGAUGACAUAAAUAUCGUAAGGGUCAAAGGCAAUAACAGACAAGAGUAUAGGAGAAAAGGUGAAGGCAUAGAAGAGCUAGUGGUAUAAGUACAAUAAAGAAUGGAGGUAUGUCAAGGCUUACACGCGGUAAAGAAUAGGACAUUGCCAAGGAUGAGAUAAGUAAAACACCGUUCUCAAAUUGGGAUAGGAGAUUGGAGAUUUUAGAUAACAAAAAUAAUGUAAUCACCAAGGUAACAUUGAGAGAUGGGAUAGGUGGAUGCAGUAACAAACAAAAGCACAGCAAAGGACGAAGUUACAAACUCGCAAGCCAAAGAAGAGGAUGUGACCAAGGUAAAGAUAGGUAAAGUAUAGCUCUCAGAACAAGACGGGAGAGAGGUGAUUUUAAAGGCAGGUAUGAGACAAACAUCAAGUAAGAUAUAGAGGUGUCAAAGGUAAAGGUGAUAAUAAUGAAAAGCACAAGGAUAGAGUUCAGGCAAGACUCGCUAGGUGGCGAAGUGGAGAAAACAGUCAAGGGUAAGAUAGGUAAGGUUGCAACAAAAUGGUUGAAGUAAAGAAAAUUAAUUACCAAGUGGAGUUACAAGGAGACAACAAGAUUACCAAGGAUAUGCAAAAUAAAAUGACCGCUCAUGGAUCAUGAAGAAACAAAGGUGGUCAAGGGCAUAUUAACUAAAAUGUCUUAAACAGAAAUUGGGAUAUAAAGGUAAGCAUAUAUAAAAAUAUGAGUAUGCAAGAUUCCAAUGGUACGAGCAUACCAAGACCAAGAGAGUACAAAUUGCCAAAAAGAUAGCGACUUAACAAUAGAAUAGGAAAGGGUUUCAAAAGACAGUAAGAUCAUGGACAUAUAAUCUGAAAUGUUUAAAUAGACAGCAUGGUUUUUUUAUUAGAGGUAGGCAUUGAAACAGGAGUAUUGAAUAGUCUAGGAGCACGAGCAUGUCAAUACCCAAGGAAUAGAGAUGGUCAAAUGGUAGCAAUUUAAUAAUGGAUGAGGAAAGAGUCCCAAAAGACUAAAGGCUAUGGUCAGGGGGCAUCUACAAAGAUGUCGCAAGCACAAGAUGAGAUCAGAUCUAAUAGAUUGAGAGAAGUAUAGACCAUACUAGAAUAAAAUACUUUUUGGCAACAGGGCAUAUAGGAGCACAACAUAGAAUUAGUCGAGGUGACUAAUAUUUUGAAGCAGAAUCAAGGAUGAGAUGAGGUAAUAAUCAAUAAGUCCUUAAAACGGCCAAUGCUACUCUAGGUCAGCGGUCCUAUAGUCAGCACGGCUUUGAUACCACUUAUGUCACACCCGGUUUUGGAAGGUAAACCGAAUGCGAACCAUGUACGUGCCAGGAUCAGAAAUUCACGUACACAGCGAUUACAUAAAUGACUCAUCAUAGCACAAUGCUUCGAAUAACAAUAAAGAUAAGUAAUAAUAUGAAAGACUAGAGUCAUUUACAUAAUAUAACCAAAGUACACAGAACAGAAACGUAGCCAACGUAAAUAAACCCACCACAGGCAGCUGACUGGGGGAGGUCGCUAGCCUAAUCCUCAAACUCGCCGAAGUCCUGAAACUCCCGGAGAUCCGCCUCGACGCCUUCUUCUUUACUUGAGCAUAGAUUGCACCAAAGGCAACC